rnacentral:lncRNA from 1 species
UGGAAAAUAGUCAAUGAAAAUCGUAUUUUGGAAUUGUUUAGGUAUUUUCAAAAUUUAAAAGGGUUUGGCCAAUUAAAGUCCUUUAGCGACUUAUUUAAAAUAUUUGAUUUAGAUGAUAAAACUCAUUGAUUAAUAAUUUGGAAAACGAAGGCAAUCACAAACCAUUUUAGCCAUUUUCAAAAAUACAUUCUUUCUUAAUUUUGAGAUUGCACUUAAAACAAAGUUUUCCAUUUAUUUUUUUAAAAAAAGAAGGGUGAUUCACAGAUACAAAAUUAUAAAAUAAUUGGUUAACCAUGUAUCUUUGUUAUGUCUAUAGACGCUAAAUGAAUAAGCAAUUGGCAUAACAAAAUCAACACUAAGAGAUUCAAAAUUUAAAUGAAAAUAAGCAAAAUAAAGUUAAUCAAUUUCAAGCAAAGCCACAUACAAAUAUAUUCAAAGUAAUACAAGGUUAGUAAACAAGAUUAAUGAUAACAUAAAGAAGGUAAGGGGCUACAUACUAUAAAUUCCUAUUAAAGCGAGUAACUCCUAGCGACAUAGACCUCGAGCUCUGUGAUCUUAUGGUUGUCAACCCAAUCCUUGGGUCAAGAUGAGUUUCGAUUGAAACUCCAAUUCCCGAAUUUACACGCGACAAAAGAAAAUAAGGAUUAAUGGAUGGUACAAAUAAUUAACAAUAAAGAUGAAAUAAUAAAAGGACACUAAUCAAACUAAUGUAGGAAGAUGACCCAUUUUUCUAACAUUAUCUUGCAUACCAUAAAACGGAAGGGAGGGAUUACGUUGAAUAUGACCCAAAUUAUGAUUAUUAGCUACAACUAAUAAUGAAGAUUUGUUUUCGUGAAUAAAAAUGGUAAGAGCACAACCAAAGAAAGCAGACAAUUCUUCCCAACAACGAACAAGUCUUAAGAAAUUAUAAGUGCUCAAAUACAUAUUCAAGUAAAUGUAAAGCUAUUCCUAGUCGGACUAGUUGGAGAAAUCGAAACUUUAUUCAAACACACUUCAAUGAAAUUAGAAGAAAAUGUCUUAUAAGCAAGCCAUACAUAGCAUUUUAAGAAGUUCACACAAGAUAUAAACAAAUGACAUGGACACGACACAUCAUUGUAAUUGAUUAAAUCUACGGAUGAGGUUCAAGUAACUCGGCCAGCAACAUUCUUUUAAGCACAAAUAUUAUUCAAAUCUUAUUAAACUUGAGAUACUAAAGAGGCACUAGAUACAACCAGCAGUAUGGAGAAACUCAUCAAAACCUUUACUUGUAAAGCUAAAAAAACAUAACGUUUAAGUGGAGGAAAUUGGUUCUUGAUUUAAAACUUGAAAGUUGGUCGAUUCUAAACACAAACUAAGCAGAUUUUGUGACACCAACGAGCAAGUAAUCUGGGAAUAUUAGGCAAAGAGUAAACCAAAAUAUAAUAAUCAUGUAAAAAGAAGGUCGCCUAUCCUAAGAACAACGGUCAGCACGUAUAUACCUAUUCAAAUGACACCGAUGAAACGACGGGGGAGAACUAUCCACAUUCGAUUCAUGUUAAUAUAAUUUUUAUCUAAGGUUGAAGCUGGACCAUACUUGAAUAAUAAAAAGAAAAGAUCAAAGCAAGAAACGAGAUUUCAAUUUCCACAUAACUAGGGAUCAAAGAACAGCCACUCCUUUUACUCGAUUUCUUAAAGAACAAAAUAUAUUACAAAUCUUGAACACGAGACAAUCAUAUUUUGGAAGAAAAAUGAUAAUUAAGAUGCAACCAAACCCAUGAAUUCAAUCCGCUUAUAACGACCAACGACAACAUAAUCAAACUUGAAGUAGAAGACUAAUCACAUAUUUACACACUCACAGACAUAAACUUCCAUAGGAAAAAUAAUUUUUCCAGAAAUAAAAUACACUUUUGUCCACAAAGUCGAAAGAAAACAACAGGGACGGAAACGGAUUCUCACCUUUUGUGGGGCAGCAAGCCUGGGGUUCGGCGUUAAGAUUCCAGUGAAGAACUCGAACUCUGGUACUCUAAAUUAGACCAAAAACAACGAAAGAGAAUGGUGACUUUUUUCGCGGAUUUUUGUGUUCACCCUGUUUUUCGAACCUUAUUCUUUUUUUUUUUCCAACCCAAAACCUUUUUCUCAAAUGAAUAAAGUAGCGGGUAUUUAUAGGAAAAUUCAGACUUGAAAGUCCGAAUUUGAAACCAAAAAUUUCAAAAAAACCAACGGCCAAAUCAAAAGGGAUGUAUCUGACGUUCAAACGUUGAAAUGGCUUCACGAGUUUGCACGAUUUUGUGCAUUUAAUGCGAAUUUGAAAUAAAAUUUCUGUUGAAGCACCGAUUUUGGUCUGAUUUUCUCAUCUUGAAUGGAUUCACGGAUUGGUAUGGCUAAAAAGGGAGAGGAUUCUUACAGGGGUGACAGCUAUGGCUGCCACGGCGCAGCUAGGGUUUCAAUUUUAAGGGAGAUGAGAAUAGACAGGAGCAAACAAAAAGGAAGGUAGUUUGGUUUUCUGUAUUUUUUGGGAAAGUUGAUGUUGAGAGAUCGGUGAUUCUUGGGAAGAGAAACAAACGUGUGCUUCUGUUUGUCUAGAGAAAAGACGCGUCUCUGCUAUAUUGUUGACUAAUUUGAUCAAUCCGAUCUUUG